GAAAUGCGAUAAGUAAUGUGAAUUGCAGAAUUCGGUGAAUCAUCGAAUCUUUGAACGCACAUUGCGCCCCCUGGUAUUCCGGGGGGCAUGCCUGUUCGAGCGUCAUUUCACCACUCAAGCCUCGCUUGGUAUUGGGCGACGCGGUCCGCCGCGCGCCUCAAAUCGACCGGCUGGGUCUUCCGUCCCCUCAGCGUUGUGGAAACUAUUCGCUAAAGGGUGCCGCGGGAGGUCACGCCGCAAAACAACCCCAUUUCUAAGGUUGACCUCGGAUCAGGUAGGGAUACCCGCUGAACUUAAGC
rnacentral:misc_RNA from 1 species